rnacentral:rRNA from 1 species
AGAGUUUGAUCCUGGCUCAGAUUGAACGCUGGCGGAAUGCUUUACACAUGCAAGUCGAACGGCAGCACGGGAGCUUGCUCCUGGUGGCGAGUGGCGAACGGGUGAGUAAUGCGUCGGAACGUACCGAGUAAUGGGGGAUAACGCACCGAAAGGUGUGCUAAUACCGCAUACGCCCUGAGGGGGAAAGUGGGGGAUCGCAAGACCUCACGUUAUUCGAGCGGCCGACGUCUGAUUAGCUAGUUGGUGGGGUAAAGGCCUACCAAGGCGACGAUCAGUAGCGGGUCUGAGAGGAUGAUCCGUCACACUGGAACUGAGACACGGUCCAGACUCCUACGGGAGGCAGCAGUGGGGAAUUUUGGACAAUGGGCGCAAGCCUGAUCCAGCCAUGCCGCGUGCGGGAAGAAGGCCUUCGGGUUGUAAACCGCUUUCAGGCGGAAAGAAAUCGUCAGGGUUAAUAACCCUGAUGGAUGACGGUACCGUCAGAAGAAGCACCGGCUAACUACGUGCCAGCAGCCGCGGUAAUACGUAGGGUGCGAGCGUUAAUCGGAAUUACUGGGCGUAAAGCGUGCGCAGGCGGCUUUUUAAGCCAGACGUGAAAUCCCCGGGCUUAACCUGGGAACUGCGUUUGGAACUGGAGAGCUAGAGUGUGUCAGAGGGGGGUGGAAUUCCACGUGUAGCAGUGAAAUGCGUAGAGAUGUGGAGGAACACCGAUGGCGAAGGCAGCCCCCUGGGACAGCACUGACGCUCAUGCACGAAAGCGUGGGGAGCAAACAGGAUUAGAUACCCUGGUAGUC